GACAGAGGGUGCAAACGUUGUUCGGAUUUACUGGGCGUAAAGCGCGUGUAGGCGGCUUGGCAAGUUGAAUGUGAAAGCUCACGGCUCAACCGUGGAAGCGCAUCCAAAACUGCUUCGCUUGAGUCUCGGAGAGGAAGGUGGAAUGCUUGGUGUAGAGGUGAAAUUCGUAGAUAUCAAGCAGAACACCUGCGGCGAAGGCGGCCUUCUGGACGAUGACUGACGCUGAGACGCGAAAGCGUGGGGAGCAAACAGG
rnacentral:rRNA from 1 species